AGGUCUUCUUUGGCCUAAAGAGGGUUACAUUUUCCAGCCAAUUCAUCGAAAUUUUGGUGAAGGAAAAGUUAGCCCUCAUCUCUUUGACAUUGCACACGCACGAUGAUUGCAACUCAAACACCCUCCAGAAUUAAAUAAAUGGCUCUUUGAUCCUCUCUCUUCCCUUGUUCCACAAUCAACUCUUGUGCAAAAUAGGGACCUCGCACGUAAGGAAUCAGUUCCAAACCACUACUUCGUUGUCUACAAGCCUUUCACAUUCUCCUAUACAGUUCCUUCUAAGACACUGCACACCAAAGUUUCCCUGUCUAUUCAACAGCUUGCUGUAACACCUUACUCUGCCAGAUUUAUACAAUAUAAUUGUUCUCGAACAACAUUUGGCCUCGCCUAUCGGUGAACCGUUGCAGGCACUAAA